AUGUCGUGGGCUUGGACUUGGGCUAUAAUAGGUAUAACAGGAUCAGCAAACCAGCUGUUGUUACGAGAUAGAAAUAAAAUUGGAUAUUUUGCAAGAAUUGCCAAUGUAUUUUUCACCUCUUACGAGGUAGGUGUAGGUUUUUUCGUAUUUGCGGUACUUGUAGCAGUGGUUGAUUAUUCUUUUUUCAAGGAUCAAAAUGUGCCUUGCCAUAUCAUCCCACUUCACCUGGCAUAUAAAGAAAGAAAGGUAGGGGACCAUGUUUGCAGCUACUAUAGGAAUUUAAAGCUCUUGCCCUCCCUCGAAGGAGAAAAAUUUUGGCAGACACCGUUGUUUGCUCUUUUUUCUCUUUGAUGUAGAUGCUAGCACUCUUAUGCACCUGCAUGUUAUUCCUGUCACCCUCUUAGCUUCUCUGUUUUCCCCUGCCCAUUCAUUUCAUCUGCAUGUUAUUCCUUUCACCGUCUUAUCACACUGGGCAAGCACCAUUAGGUGGGGCCGUGAUAUGCGGGGCUUCAAUCUUUCGGCUUUGACUCUUCUGCCAUCUUUAUCAUUCUUACCUAGGCGCAUCGGCCCCAUUUCCAGCCCUAUCUCCAUGUUUGUCCCAGCAACACGAGUUAAGAAAGUAGGGAUCUAUGACAGAUUCAAGGAAACUAGCUCAUCUUACCAAGAUCUGGAAUUUUAUAUAUUGUUUGUUUUAUAGCUUCGUAUUCAAUAAUCCAGUUUCUUCGAUCACUCUAUUAAC
rnacentral:lncRNA from 1 species